UAGAAACCCUUGAAACUAAAAAGUGUCAGGAUUAAUAGGGCUGACAUGAGAUUCAGCACUAAAUAAAUGGCCAAGUUCCCAUGAAAACAACCACUGUGUCCUGUGUUAAUUCUGUUUUUAGUUAACUUUGUCUUCCUGCCUAAAAACAUGUAGGUUUUGUAUCAUUCUUAAGUUGCUGUAACAUUGAGAUGUGAAAUUUGGAGGAUUCGAAAUAAAUGCAGCUAAAUGGAACUUUUGGAUGAAGAAUCCCUGGUUUGUUCAGAUCUGUUAAAGUAAUAGGGGAAAGCACAAAAGGAUCAAGAAAAGGAAGGCCCCAAUCUUUGUUCGAUGACUGAUAAAACAGCAUUACUUGGGUGAAAAUUGGCCUGACCUUCACCUACAGGAUGCUUCCGCUGCCUCAGUGAUUCUUGCUUCGCUCUGAUUAGACUCUCCUCUAAAGCUCUGCUGGGAGAGGACGGCCGGAGAAAGACACAAGUCUCCCUCAGCUGGCUGGAACAGUGAGGCUAUAAUGACAAAGCAGCCAUCUGCACACCAGGAAGGGGCACUCACCAGACAUCAGAGCUGCCGGCACCUUCACCUUGGACAUCCCAGCCUCCAGAACUGUAAAAAAUAAAUGUUUGUUGUUUAAGCCACCCAGUCUAUUUUAAUUUGUUAUAGCAGCCUAGUAUGGUUUGGCUGUGUCCCCACCUGAAUCUCACCUUGAAUUGUAAUAAUUCCCAUGUGUCAUGGGAGGGACACUGUGGGAGGUAAUUGAAUCAUGGGAUGGGUUUUCCCAUGGUGUUCUCAUGAUAGUGAAUAAGUCUCAUGAGAUCUGAUGGUUCCCCUGCACACAUUCUCUUGCCUGCCACCAUGUAAAAUGUGUCUUUGCUCCUUCUUCACCUUCCGCCACGAUUGUGAGACCUCCCCGCCAUGUGGAACUGUGAGUCCAUUAAACCUCUUUUUCUUUAUAA
rnacentral:lncRNA from 1 species